rnacentral:rRNA from 1 species
AUGAACGCUAGCUACAGGCUUAACACAUGCAAGUCCAUGGGCAGCAUCAUCAAAGCUUGCUUUGAUGGAUGGCGACCGGCGCACGGGUGAGUAACACGUAUCCAACCUGCCGACAACACUGGGAUAGCCUUUCGAAAGAAAGAUUAAUACCGGAUGGCAUAAUUAUUCCGCAUGGGAUAAUUAUUAAAGAAUUUCGGUUGUCGAUGGGGAUGCGUUCCAUUAGGCAGUUGGCGGGGUAACGGCCCACCAAACCUACGAUGGAUAGGGGUUCUGAGAGGAAGGUCCCCCACAUUGGAACUGAGACACGGUCCAAACUCCUACGGGAGGCAGCAGUGAGGAAUAUUGGUCAAUGGACGAGAGUCUGAACCAGCCAAGUAGCGUGAAGGAUGACUGCCCUAUGGGUUGUAAACUUCUUUUAUACGGGAAUAAAGUGAGCCACGUGUGGCUUUUUGUAUGUACCGUAUGAAUAAGGAUCGGCUAACUCCGUGCCAGCAGCCGCGGUAAUACGGAGGAUCCGAGCGUUAUCCGGAUUUAUUGGGUUUAAAGGGAGCGUAGGCGGGUUGUUAAGUCAGUUGUGAAAGUUUGCGGCUCAACCGUAAAAUUGCAGUUGAUACUGGCGACCUUGAGUGCAACAGAGGUAGGCGGAAUUCGUGGUGUAGCGGUGAAAUGCUUAGAUAUCACGAAGAACUCCGAUUGCGAAGGCAGCUUACUGGAUUGUAACUGACGCUGAUGCUCGAAAGUGUGGGUAUCAAACAGGAUUAGAUACCCUGGUAGUCCACACAGUAAACGAUGAAUACUCGCUGUUGGCGAUAUACAGUCAGCGGCCAAGCGAAAGCAUUAAGUAUUCCACCUGGGGAGUACGCCGGCAACGGUGAAACUCAAAGGAAUUGACGGGGGCCCGCACAAGCGGAGGAACAUGUGGUUUAAUUCGAUGAUACGCGAGGAACCUUACCCGGGCUUAAAUUGCAACUGACGGAACCGGAAACGGUUCUUUCUUCGGACAGUUGUGAAGGUGCUGCAUGGUUGUCGUCAGCUCGUGCCGUGAGGUGUCGGCUUAAGUGCCAUAACGAGCGCAACCCUUACGGGUAGUUACCAUCAGGUUAUGCUGGGGACUCUACCCGGACUGCCGUCGUAAGAUGUGAGGAAGGUGGGGAUGACGUCAAAUCAGCACGGCCCUUACGUCCGGGGCUACACACGUGUUACAAUGGGGGGUACAGAAGGCAGCUACACGGCGACGUGGUGCUAAUCCCAAAAGCCUCUCUCAGUUCGGAUUGGAGUCUGCAACCCGACUCCAUGAAGCUGGAUUCGCUAGUAAUCGCGCAUCAGCCACGGCGCGGUGAAUACGUUCCCGGGCCUUGUACACACCGCCCGUCAAGCCAUGAAAGCCGGGGGUACCUGAAGUACGUAACCGCGAGGAGCGUCCUAGGGUAAA